rnacentral:rRNA from 1 species
UACAGAGGUGGCAAGCGUUGUUCGGAAUUACUGGGCGUAAAGGGCGCGUAGGCGGUCUUGCAAGUCCCGUGUGAAAUCCCUCGGCUCAACUGAGGAACUGCACGGGAAACUGCUUGGCUUGAGUUCGGGAGAGGGAAGCGGAAUUCCGGGUGGUAGCGGUGAAAUGCGUAGAUAUCCGGAGGAACACCGGUGGCGAAGGCGGAUCUCUGGGCCUGUCCUGACGCUCAGGCGCGAAAGCUAGGGGAGCGAACAGG